UACGGGGGGGGCAAGCGUUGUUCGGAAUUACUGGGCGUAAAGGGCGCGUAGGCGGCCUGCUAAGUCGGAUGUGAAAUCCCUCGGCUCAACCGAGGAACUGCAUCCGAUACUGGCGGGCUUGAAUCCGGGAGAGGGAUGUGGAAUUCCAGGUGUAGCGGUGAAAUGCGUAGAUAUUGGGAGGAACACCAGUGGCGAAGGCGGCUCACUGGACCGGAACUGACGCUGAGGCGCGAAAGCGUGGGGAGCAAACAGG
rnacentral:rRNA from 1 species